GACAGAGGCCUCGAGCGUUAGGCGGAAUCACUGGGCUUAAAGCGUGUGUAGGCGGAAGCGUAAGUACCUUGUGAAAUCCCACGGCUCAACCGUGGAACUGCUGGGUAUACUGCGUUUCUUGAGCCAUUUAGGGGCGAGUGGAACGGAUGGUGGAGCCGUGAAAUGCAUAGAUAUCAUCCGGAACGCCUGUGGUGAAGACGACUCGCUGGGAAUGUGCUGACGCUGAGACACGAAAGCCAGGGGAGCAAACGGG
rnacentral:rRNA from 1 species